AGAUUGGGUUGGAUGGCAUGCUCAUGAGUUUAAGUAUGGGGUUUCGGGAAGAGGCGGAGGAGCCGGUGGCUUUUUUCUCGCAGAAGCUGCCCCCUUCUGCUUCUCUCCCUUCUUGUCUCUGAGUAGGACGAUCCAUUUUGCCUCCCAUCACUCCCCAUUCUCUCUCUCUCUCUCUCUCUCUCUCUCCCCUUCUUUCUCUGUGUGUGUGUGUUUUGAAGAGGCGGUGAUUUGCACAAAAAAAAAAAGAAAAAAAGAGGCGGUGAUGAGAGACCGAGAUCUUUGGGUGAUUUGGUGUAGAGCUCGUACUUUUGUUGCUACGAUGGUUUGGCCCAGUAGCAUUACUCUUUCUAGGCAACGGUGGCGGGGCAGCAGGAAGGUCUGAUGCUUCGUAGGCAACCGCUGCAGCCACCAGCUGGAGAGAAGAGUGCAGAGAUGGGGAAGAAAGUGGGAUCUCCCUCUCUAUGCCAUAAUGAUGGGUCAAGGGCGACUCUGAGCCUCUCUCCCGGCUCUUUCUUUAUCCGAGAUAUGUCCCUGUCCUUUUGGCUUUUGCUCAUUUUCCUUCCCAUUCUAUUUAAUUUUCUGCAUUUUUUUUAACUUUCGAUGUUUCAACCCAUUCGAUUUGAAGUGAUUUUUAGAAGAUCAUAUUCUUGUUUUGACGCUAGGGUUUUGGGAAUUUUGGGGAUUUUGCAUUAAAAAAAAUCCACUUAGUUUUUUUUGCACCUCUCCUCUAAGGGGGGUUCAAAUCCUUUGGGUCAGUUAUAUGUUUAAAAAAAUCAUAGACUAAUCUUAGCAGAAAGGUCGAGAAAGGUAUAUUUAACAAGAAAAGAUCAGAUAUUCUUUUUUUUUUUUUGUUUUGAAACGGAUGGUAAACCGGAUUUAUUAAAUCGAUUUAGAAUAAAUGCAACUGUGGGGAAUCAGAAAAUAAAAUAUUUUAAAACUCAAAAGAUUUUUUUUAACACCCGGUCCGUUCCGUUUUUAUUUUUAUGUUUAGCCUGAGAAAAAGAAUCGGAUCAAAUAAAUAGGUGGCAUUAAAAAAAACACUUGCCAUAUUAUUCAAGUGGGCACGGUCACCGAGUCCUGACAGUGGUGGGACGAGACUUGCCUCGUCUUCUAAAAAGGGCUGCCUGUUGCCUCUUGAAUAUCUAGGGUGAUGGGGUCGGGUAGACGGGUUGACUCCGAUCGAUCCGAAUUUUUGUUCUUUAAACUCAGACUCGAUCAAUUAAAAAUCGAGUCAGAUCGGAUUUGUAUCUAUAAUUUUUGAUCCCACGGAUCAUUCAGGUUAGAUCUAAUCUGAUUUGAAUUGGGUUUGAGCCGGGGCUGAGUCAGAUUUGGGUCAUAUGUUAUCUUUUUUUUUUUGUUUUUGCGCUUUUUAUCUUUUUUUUCCGCUUUUGGGAAAGAAUUUGGGCAAAUCGUAUUUGGUUAUAUCAUAAUUAUGAGGUGCUGGGUGACCCAUGACUUGAAAGACUUGCAAUUAACCUCCGGUCGGAACAGAUGACCCAUGACUUACUAAGUCGGUCUGCAAGCCAAAUUUCAUAUCACACUAUUUUUUAUCUCUAUGAUUGAUUGGAUGGAACUUGGUGUCUUCCUGCUCCUGUCUCAGGAGGACAAAAAAAUACCAGACCUUCCAAAAUCCAAUUCCAUUGCAGAAACUGGCACGUGACCCAUAUUUAGUUCAGUGUUCCCUCACUUUCUCCCUUCAAAAGUUAAAAGAAAUAAAAACCAAAAAACAGAAGGAAAAAAAAAGCCAGCUACCGAGGCACUAGCGGUAUCAACAGUGUAAUAGAUCGAGAGAGAAUCCUGACGGGCCGAGGUUCCUUUGGAUUCUGUGAACCUAUGCUUGUUGCUAUCCUUCUACACUUGAACCCUCCUCCCCUUAGGGCUUUUCCUCCUCAUUGGCUGGCAUUUCCCGUCCCUUAGAGAAUAACAAGGCCAUGGGAUCAAGCUAACGAGCUCCUAAGAAACCCAUAUCUCCUUCCUGUCUGCCUUGAAAACCCGCCAUAAAUUCACUUUAAAACGACCAAUAGUACCACCACCCACACAAAAAAAAAGAAGAGACUCUCUUGCUUGUUAUCACAAAGCAAACUCAUUUAUUUGAGCUUUUGCUGGAUUUUAGGUGGCUUUGUGCAGCCUUUAUUUUGAUUUUGUUUCUCUUUUUCUAUUUCCAUUGCCACCAACUUAGUGCUGUUAAAGCCACCUACUUAGCAUCGUUUCUGGUCCUUAGACAAGUCACCUUCUUUCCAACUCAAACCAGCAGUCCUAUCUCUCUCUCUCUCUCUCUCUCUCUCUCUCUCUCUCUCUCUUCUAGGCCCAAGAGAUUCUGAAGCAGAGCAAAGUUGUGUGGAGCUUCUGUCUUCUUCUUUGUCUUCUGGCACAAGAACAUAUCUGAGAUAGCUCCCAUUCAUUAAAAAAACCAUUUUGGGUCUGCUUUUCUGGCUUUCUUGCUGCUAUAACUGUCCCGAGUCAACCAAAAGCUUGAGAGCUCGGCGUUUGGGUUUCCUUCUGUUUUGCUCAUUCUCUUCGGGUCUGGUCGGGUCCAGAUUCAGUAAACCAGACCUGAUCCAGAAAAUAGUUCGGGGCCAAUUUUAGGACCCGACUCAGACAUGUGGGUUUAAAAAUUUCAGUCGGAUUGGGUCGGGUCAUGGGUCGACCGGACCCAUUUGCAGCCUUAAAAAGCUUUUACUUUGGAAAGCUCCUCUGCCAAACGGUGCUAAGUACGAGGCUUCAGGAAGAGGCAGUGGAAGGGUCGGUGGCUUUAUUCUCAUAGAAGCUGCCUCCUUCUGUGCCUUUACCAAGCCAGAGUGGUUCUGAAUCCUCCCCAUUGUGAUAUGAUAUAGAGCUUGCUCCUUCUUGCUUCGAUGGUUGGGCCCCUAGCAUUACUCUUUCUUGGCAACAGUGCUCGGGCAGCUAGGAAGGUCUGAUGCUCUGCAAGCAACCGCUGCAGCCACCAGCUGUAUAGAAGAGUGUAGAGAUGAGGAAGAAAGGGGGAUCUUGCUCUCCCUCUAGGGGCGUUUGGUAACCCCAACAGGAUCACCAUGGUGAACUAAGGAUUUGAUCCCCAGUGAUCUAAGAUCACUGUGUUUUGUAGGCCAUAGUCCAGUGAUUAAAAUUUUUCGAAUAUCCAUGAGUAACUUAUUUGGUAUGGUACGGAAAUCCAAGAUCAUCGACCACGUAAUACCACAAAUACUCCUGAUAUAGCUUAGAUUUUUUAUGUGUUUCUUUUGCUUAUUCCCCUGUAAAAUAUUUCUUUUUGAUUCUUUGAUGACCAUUCAUGCUAAUAAAAUUUACUAUAGAUCUUUAGCACUGUUUCCAUCUAUUUAUGGUUGAUAGCAAUAGUGCUCUAACCUUAGAUCUCACUUCAUACUAGACUAUGUUUCAAGGUGAAAUAACCUGUACCUAUCUUAAGCUGGAAGAUAUUUUCUCUUCUUAGUAUCGUUCAUUUGGAGUUGUCAUUCAAAUAAUUUGAGAGGAAAUCCUGUCAUUUUCUCGUUUUCUCCUCUACUUGUGCGAAAUCUCUGUACGUGCGGACCAACUACUCUAUUUUUGUGAUGCCAUCAUGUCCUUAUUUCCUUACUCUCAAAUCCACCCUUCCCAUAUCUUUGACGAAGGGUUACUUAAUUCACUAGAUGUUUGCUUCCCUGAGGCCUCUCGGAUCCCCGCCGAUCCUGGCCGUUCGACUUUCGUCGCUGCCGACGGCCGAUUGUCACCUUCGGACUACUUUUUGUGCUCUCUAGAAAGGAGAGCAGAGAGAUGGGAGAGAUCGGAGCGGAGAGAUGGGAGAUGUAACGACUCGAGCAUUAAAAAAGGUUGAGGGGUAUUUUUGUCUAUAAUUUUCAACUUAAGAUCACUGCCAUGGGGUGAUCCUGAAUUUCUGACCUCAAGGAUGGGUAUCCCAUCACCGGGUUGGAUGGUAAUUUGAGAAGUGAAGGUGAUUUAGGAUCACGCCACGUAGGAUCACCGUGGUGCAACUAAACGCGGUGAUCUUAUCACCUCCACCCCCAUCACUCUUGAUCUUGGGAUGAUCACCCCAUACUAAACGCUCCCUCUAUGUCAUAAUGAUGGAUCAAAGACGACUUUGAGUCUCUUUCCCUUCUUUUUCUUUAUCCGAGAUAUGUCCCUGUCCUUUUGGCUAUUGCUUAUUUUCCUUCCCAUUCUAUUUAAUUUUCUGCAUAAAAAAUUAAUUUUCAAUUCUGCAACCACUUAAAUUUGAAGUGAUUACUAGAAGAUCGGAUUCCUGUUUUGAUGCUAGGGUUUUGGCAAUUUUGGCUAUUUUAUAGAAAAAAAUCUACUUAAUUAUCAUUUGCACCUCUCCUUCAAGGGCUUGCCAUUGGAGAAGAGGGUUCAAAUCCUAGGUAUCGUUUAGUUUUUAUAAAAAAAUCUGAAUGUUAAACCCAGUUUCGGCCACUUGGAUUCACCUUCCUUCGCUCCCAUCCACCUUUGGAUCACCCAUGGCACAGAUUUUAAAGUGCUUUGAACUCCUUCAUUCAUUGGACUGCAUAGAUCUCAAAGCAGGCAAUCGAUGAUCCAACAAUGGACUCGCAUGAAGGAAGAUGAAUCUUCUUUUGCGUGAAAGAUACCGCCUCAAACCUGAGGCCUCAGGAAGAGGCAAUGGAAGGGCUGGUGGCUUUAUUUUCGCUGAAGCUGCCCCCUUCUGCUCCUCUCCCAAGCUGAUGAUUCUUAAUCCUCUGCAUUCUCUCUCUCUCUCUCUCUCUCUCUCUCUCUGUGUGUGUGUGUGUGUGUGUGUGUGUGUGUGUGUGUGUGUGCGUGCGCGUCUUUUGAAGAGGCUGUGAUGAGUAAUCAAGAUCUUUGUGUGAUAUGGUGUAGAGCUCAUUCUGUCUUGCUACAAUGUUUUGGCCUUGUAGCAUUACUCUUUCUUGGCAAUGGUGGCUGGGCAGCUAGGAAGGUCUGAUGUUCUGCAGGCAACCGCUGCUACCACCUGCUGUAGAGAGGAGUGCAGAGAUGAGGAAGAAAGUGGGAUCUUCUUCUCCCUCUGUGCCAUAAUAAUGGAUCAAAAGCAACUCUGAGCCUCACUCCCUUCUCUUUCUUUAUUUAAGUGAUAGGCAACUGCUGGAUCAUAUGCUGAUUAUUCCUGCAGCCUUUGCUACGUGCCUGUACGAGUCAUUUCUCUUUUUCAUCUUAGUGAUGAGAUACCUGCAGACCAGGCAAGGUUGUUCAAGACAUACUGACCAAGGUUUGCUAUGCAGUUACCAUGAUGAGGUCUUCCUCCAUGGUCCAUCGGCCUUUGCUCACCUUAGCCUCUCGUUUCCCGUUUAUCCUUUUGUUCAUGGUGUUAGUUUCUUCCCCCAUGGUAGAGAAUUCUGAUCCAUCUAUUUAGAGCAUGCUUUAAUUCUUUAUGUUUCUUUUAAAAAUACUUUGCAACUUCUAAUGCAAAACAGUGCUUCCCAGAAAAAAAUUAAUUUGGUGACAAUAUCUGAAAACUGUUUUUAAAAAUAGAAGCAACAGAAAACAUGCCUCCCCCCCCCCCCUUCUCUCUCUCUCUCUCUCUCUUCUCUCGUGCUCGCCCACUCCUUUCUUUUCUGAUCUUUCUAAUUCUCUUUUCUGUUUUUAGAGGCUGUGAUGAGUUGUGCUCGUAUCUCAUGCUUCAGAUGCUGAAAUUCUGUUCUGCUGCUGGACAAUCUUAUUCCAAGUAUUAUAAUGAUAUAAUUGGCAGUAUUUAAGACAUGCUCUCUCUCUCUCUCACACACACACACACAUAUUUAAUCUUUCUCCUCAUCUACCAUUGGGGCAGAGGUGAAGUGAUGGGAUUCCAGCCAUCCUUCUAGUACUUUAUCUUUUAAAUUCGUCAUGCAUCCCAAAUGUUUACUAGUUUGCCUUAUUUGAACAGGUUUAGCCAACUUGGAUGGCCUGCUAUUGUGCAGUCAACUGUUUCUGCCUGCAAGCAACCUCGUCCAAUGUCUGAUAAAUGUGCAGGACUGAGCCUCCCAUUUUUUAAAAAAACUUUAUUGUUGUUGUUCCCUUUUUUUUCGAAAAAGAAAGUACUAUGAACCUGUAUAAAAAAGGGGAAAGAUAAUGUAACACACAUAAAGGUUAUGAUGAAGGAUAUGAAUUAACCUGGAAUAGCAUCAGGGAUAGCCCUAAAUAGGAAUAAGUGGUGAAUGAAGAUUCAUAAAACUGACCCCAAAUGGAUGGGAAAAGGACAGAUGGUUAUGGUAAGUACUAUCAACCUUUUCUUUUCCUCUUAAUACUCCAUCGAUUUUAUUCAACCAGGCCUUUUCUUCAAGGAGUUGCACUGUUGCUAUUCUUUUCCCCACUUUCAUAUAUUCCGUACAUGUUGCUUGAUAGAUCGUAAGAUUGUGAUACUUGACAGAUCUUUAGAUUGGCCUGCUUUAUGCAGGUAACUGCAACGUACAAAAGUUUAUUGAAGGAGAAUGUUUAUUGAAGGAGCUUAACUAAGUAGACAUGAUUAUGGUAGUGAAUUCUGAAUCUCAGCUUAAAACAGUUCUAUAUCACAUUCCUGCACGCAUUCUUCUCUAGCUUACUAGCCCUUUUCGUGGCUAACAACCAACCAAAGGCUGCUCAUGAACCAUUCAUCAAUUGACAGCCAUAGUCCUUAUGGUGGUCAUUGUUUGCUUAUCUUGCUCCUAUCUUUUACGCUUCAGUCAAUUAAACUUACAUGUGCCUGAGUUCAAAAAGAGAGAGGAAAACUUAUAUGUGCUUGUUCAAGGAUAGGUGACUGAAACCCUACGGGUUUUCAUUGUUAGGGGUUUAGUUUCGUGGAUUUUUUAUGUGUCAUGAUAAAAUAGAUCUAUGUAUUUACCUUAAAAUUUCUGGCAGGUUAGAUUAGAAUGUGUUCUGACGCAACUUAGUAUAUGUUGUUCUUAUGUUUCAUGCUUCAGUAAAUGGAACUUAUAUGUGCCUGCUCCAAGGAUAGGUGUCUUAAACCCUAUUGGUUCAUGCGUGGAGUUAGGGGAUUAGUGUCAUGUAUUUGUUAUUUUGGCGAUGGAUUGAUCACUGUCAUUUCCUUAAAUCUGCUAGCAGGUUAGAUUGGAUCAUGUUCUGGCAUGUUUUUGUUGUUUAAUGCUUGGUCCACCUGCCACCUUAACUGCUUUACUCUACUGUCACGGCAAAAUUGGAUGGCCAACAGACUCCAGGCAACUGUUGCAUCCUUUUAAAAUAUUCUGCACGAUGUCUGAAAAUUGGGCAGAGCUGAAUGAACUUGGAUACAGAUAUUAGACAGAUGCUAAAAUUUGUGUCCACUCCACAUUUCUUCUAAAAGGAUAUGAAUAUUAAUUGGAUAUGACUCCAGGUACAAGUCAGAUUUGUGAGAAAAAAUA